rnacentral:rRNA from 1 species
GACAGAGGAUGCAAGCGUUAUCCGGAAUGAUUGGGCGUAAAGCGUCUGUAGGUGGCUUUUUAAGUCCGCCGUCAAAUCCCAGGGCGUCAACCCUGGACAGGCGGUGGAAACUACCAAGCUGGAGUACGGUAGGGGCAGAGGGAAUUUCCGGUGGAGCGGUGAAAUGCGUAGAGAUCCGGAGGAACACCGACGGCGCAGGCAGCGUCCUGGCCGCUUGCUGACACU